GAUAGCCUACGGGGGGCAGCAGUGGGGAAUAUUGCACAAUGGGGGAAACCCUGACGCAGCGACGCCGCGUGGGUGACGAAGUAUUUCGGUAUGUAAAGCCCUAUCAGCAGGGAAGAUAAUGACGGUACCUGACUAAGAAGCCCCGGCUAACUACGUGCCAGCAGCCGCGGUAAUACGUAGGGGGCAAGCGUUAUCCGGAUUUACUGGGUGUAAAGGGAGCGUAGGUGGCAGGGCAAGUCAGAUGUGAAAACCCGGGGCUCAACUCCGGGAU
rnacentral:rRNA from 1 species